CCAUUUCGGUGGGGAUUAGUGGCGAACGGGUGAGUAACACGUGGGCAAUCUGCCCUGCACUCUGGGACAAGCCCUGGAAACGGGGUCUAAUACCGGAUACUGACCCUCGCAGGCAUCUGCGAGGUUCGAAAGCUCCGGCGGUGCAGGAUGAGCCCGCGGCCUAUCAGCUUGUUGGUGAGGUAAUGGCUCACCAAGGCGACGACGGGUAGCCGGCCUGAGAGGGCGACCGGCCACACUGGGACUGAGACACGGCCCAGACUCCUACGGGAGGCAGCAGUGGGGAAUAUUGCACAAUGGGCGAAAGCCUGAUGCAGCGACGCCGCGUGAGGGAUGACGGCCUUCGGGUUGUAAACCUCUUUCAGCAGGGAAGAAGCGAAAGUGACGGUACCUGCAGAAGAAGCGCCGGCUAACUACGUGCCAGCAGCCGCGGUAAUACGUAGGGCGCAAGCGUUGUCCGGAAUUAUUGGGCGUAAAGAGCUCGUAGGCGGCUUGUCGCGUCGGUUGUGAAAGCCCGGGGCUUAACCCCGGGUCUGCAGUCGAUACGGGCAGGCUAGAGUUCGGUAGGGGAGAUCGGAAUUCCUGGUGUAGCGGUGAAAUGCGCAGAUAUCAGGAGGAACACCGGUGGCGAAGGCGGAUCUCUGGGCCGAUACUGACGCUGAGGAGCGAAAGCGUG
rnacentral:rRNA from 1 species